GAUCUAAAUAAUGUGACUCGAUCUUGAAAUGUGUGGCAAUUAGUAACUUUUAUGAAAUAGAAAUAUAUCUGUGUCCUUGUUAUGCUCCGUCUUUUCGACAGCAGGUAUUUUUUGCUUCCAGUAUGGCGAUCCUGUUACUGUCAUUUGGCCGUCAAUUGCCUUGGUGGUAACACGUCUUCCACGACUGUUUGCUGGUUACCGGUGACACUUUCUCGUUGAAUAGGGCUGGAGUUACUUUGUGACUGGAAUAAUGUUCUUUCCGGUCCGUUAACUCAAUAAUUCUAGUACAGUCUGUCGUAACCUCAAAUCGUAAACACAUCAAACUUUCGUUGACAGAUAGCGAAAAUUACUAGCCUCGCGCUAUCUUUGUUUAACACAUAGGUUAGGUUCCUCUCUGUCGAAUUCCGACCACAGGCAGUUUGCCGUACUUUCUAAAAGUAAUAGUAGAUCUAGUGACUUUAGAUCUAAAUGAUCUGAUACGACACCUGGUGUCAAAAAUGUGCACUACUCAGGAGCAUAGUGAAAGAUGUAAAUACUGUUGGUUGUACAGUGAAAUUUCGUUGUUUUAUGUUAAACCAUGGCCGACUAGUAUAAACAUUAUGGCCUGUCCAAGAGGUACGAUACGUGUUGCCAUCUAUUAAUAAUUACACUUAAUAAUUUAGCAAAAUUUUAAUUUGACUUGACAUUAUGGGACUUCAAAACAUGUAAUGGUGGUUUGUUUGGAUAUGAAUGCCUUUGUGCCUUUCAAAAGGUGUUAAUAAUUCUUUUGUCGAUUUUGAAUUAUUAAUAGAUGGCAGCACGUAUGGUACCUUUGGCAUUCCUUUGGACAGGCCAUAAUCUUUAUACUGGUCGGCCAUGGUUAAACCAACAAAAUUAAAUAAGUUGGUCCCAGUAUUCCUGAAAAAAUGACUGUUAACAAUACAAAUUGUUGUGUUUUUCGCUGCCAUAGCAAAAACAAUAGAAACAGUGGGCUCUCUUUUCAUAAAUUCCCCAUAAAAAACAAGUCAUUUGUUUAAAUGUUAUGAACAGGUUAGGAAUCAGGGAAAAGAAUGGACAGAUAUAAGACUAGGAUGGUAAAGCUAAAUAUGGGAAAACCAGCAACAAAGCACAUGAAAGUGUGUUCACUACAUUGUAAUCAGGAUGAUUUCAUAUUGAGGAUUUAAUUUGAGGACCCAGGUGGGUUAGUUAGCUUCGUGCUUGCCCACUACACCUUGGGUCGUGGGUUCGAUUCCCGCCUUGCCUUUUGGGUGUUGUGUAUGUCAUGUUUCCUGUAAUUGGGCCUCCAGCUUGUUAGAGACAUCAUAGGAUAAAAUAAAUAAAAAUAAAAAUAUUACCUGAUGUAAGUAUCAUUACUAAAGAAUUACUACCUAGAAGGCCCAAAAAUCGAGACUUUAAAGCAGUCAGAAGUACAACAAUGAAAAAAUCUGAAGGUUACAUAAUUUCAAGUACAGAUAGUACUGAUGUAAAUUGCUUCGACAGCAGUCAGUUACAUCAAAAAACUGUUUCAACAUUAGAAAUGGAAACCGUGCAGGCUUUGUUACAUUUACAAAAUUCACAAAAAAAGGAUAAAAAUAUUCAAGUGACAAGUGGAGAUUUAGUGGCACCUUUUAUAAGUACACUUAAAUCUGAUAAUGAUUUAAAUACAAUGGCUGGAAUACCAUCCUUUCUGUUAUUUAAUGCUAUUGUUGCAAAUUGUGAGAUGUUUGGAAAAUUCUGUAAUAAACAUAAAUUAAACUUGAAAGAACGUG